AACGAACGCUGGCGGCAUGCCUAACACAUGCAAGUCGAACGAGACCUUCGGGUCUAGUGGCGCACGGGUGCGUAACGCGUGGGAACCUGCCCUUAGGUUCGGAAUAACUCCCCGAAAGGGGUGCUAAUACCGGAUAAUGUCUUCGGACCAAAGAUUUAUCGCCUUUGGAUGGGCCCGCGUUGGAUUAGCUAGUUGGUAGGGUAAAAGCCUACCAAGGCGACGAUCCAUAGCUGGUCUGAGAGGAUGAUCAGCCACACUGGGACUGAGACACGGCCCAGACUCCUACGGGAGGCAGCAGUGGGGAAUAUUGGACGAUGGGCGAAAGCCUGAUCCAGCAAUGCCGCGUGAGUGAUGAAGGCCUUAGGGUUGUAAAGCUCUUUUACCCGGGAUGAUAAUGACAGUACCGGGAGAAUAAGCUCCGGCUAACUCCGUC
rnacentral:rRNA from 1 species